GAUGCUUGAAAGUAAAUUAGAAUUAUUUAGAAGAGCAGAAAAGGAAUUAUUUGAGAUUAAGCAGCAAGAACAGUAACAUUGUGAUGGUGAACAUCGUUGAUAUUUUUAUUGACUGCUCAAAAAAUACUUUUUGCGAUGUAUUUAUCACUAAUUGCUAAUCACAAAAAGUAUCAAAUGACCGUUAUCAGAUUGCUUUUGAGAAAGAACGAAUGGAUAUAGGCUUGUGGGAAGUUUUAGGAACAGGCAGCAAAGCUCAAGAAUGUAGCAGUUUUCUUUGCCUAUCGUUGUAAAAUAUGAAUCUUCGAUCCAAGAGAGAUGACGUCGACAUUUCAUCCUGUCUUUUUAUAACCUGUUCUCUUGUUUUAUGUCUCCGGUUGCAGUGUAAUGUUGGCAGUUACAUUUAGCUAUUACUGAUUAUUAUAAUUUGAAAAAGUACCAUUCUCCCAUAUAUCAAGAUCCCUCAAAGAUUGAAUCUGUUAAAAUACCUGCGUAUAUUUAAGGUUUUUUAGUGUGGUGACUUUUCGAAACUUCAUCAGUUGGCAAUGUCUUUUAAUCUUAUUAAAUCUGAUAAUCAUUUGUCAAAAAGUGACCUGAACCAUCAGAAGAGCUGUUUCUUCGAAUUAUGAUAGAAAUGAUAAGUAAAUUAUGAGUUAGUCCAACUUUAAUGCAUCUAGAUUCUGAUCUUCUCGUUCCUUGUCUUUCUGUAAUGUGCAAUUGUACAUUUUUUGUUUGAAAAUAAAAAACGUUGUUGCUGA